rnacentral:rRNA from 1 species
CCUACGGGAGGCAGCAGUGGGGAAUAUUGGUCAAUGGGCGCAAGCCUGACCCAGCAACGCCGCGUGAAGGAAGAAGGCUUUCGGGUUUUAAACUUCUUUUUACAGGGAAGAGUAGGAGACGUUACCUGUCGAGUAAGCCACGGCUAACUACGUGCCAGCAGCCGCGGUACUACGUCGGUGGCAAGCGUUGUCCGGAUUUACUGGGUGUAAAGGGCGUGUAGCCGGGUUGACAAGUCAGAUGGGAAAUCCUGCGGCUUAACCGGUGAAUUGCAGUUGAAACUGGUGACCUUGAGUGUGGGAGGGGUAGGCGGAAUUCCUGGUGUAGGGGUAAAAUACGUAGAGAUCAAGAGGAAGACCCAUUGCGAAGGCGACUUGCUGGAAUAUUACUGACGCUGAUGCACGAAAGCGUGGGGAGCAAACAGGAUUAGAUACCCCAGUAGUC